CUCCUGCGUCACGGGGAAAGUCCGGUGGAAGGCCGGCGCUGCCGCGCAACGGUUCCAGCCCGAAUGCCCGCUCGGAG
rfam:Salinibacter ruber DSM 13855, complete genome.